UCUAUUAUUUUUUCUAUAAUUGAUUUUAUCGUUCAAAGUAAAAUUAAUAAUCGCUUAGAAAGAUGGAGUUACAGCAACCGAAGAUAAAUAUAUAGCUAAAUUACAGAAAACCUUCCUGUCAAAAUAUAAUUUUUCACUUUUCCUCUCCGUUAUUUAAAAAUCUACACUUUACCUUCUUGUAAAAUAAAAAAUGUUCAUAGGGGUACGGUGUGAACUAUGAUGACAAAAUGAUUAUUUUGCCCCUCACCAUGUUCACAGAAGAAAAGACUGAGAGCAUUUUUGACAUAAAAAAUAUAUUAUAAUAUUUUAUAAAUGGAAUUCUAACAGAUUACUAACGGUAGAGGGGUGAAGUGAAUAUUUUUUAUUUUACAAGAAGAUAAAUUAUAGAUUUUUAAAUGACAAAAAAAAAAA
rnacentral:lncRNA from 1 species